rnacentral:lncRNA from 1 species
AACCUAAAGAUGUCAGGAAGAAGAAAGGUGCAGAUGCCGUACCUGGGAGCCAUACGUGGCAUGGUUGCUUUUCUGAAGAUAGGUUGCAUCUGAUGAGGAAAGUGUUCUCCUGGCCUCUAGAGUCCUCCCCAUUACUCCUCCCCGGGAAUGGCUAGUAAAUACCUUUUCUUAGUUUUCUUUCCCAUGUGUUGAGAUCAAGCUAACUGUAGAAUUGGAGGAGAAAGAAAAGCAUAUUUCUGGAGAGUGCCCGCCCCAAAUGUUUCUACGAUUUCAUGAGCUUGUUAAAGACAGCCCUGGGCGGUUCCUAAGUGAAGCCAGAGCAGCUUUGGGAGCUGCUGCAGGCUUGAUCCAUCGAUCUAGCCACUCACAGAUGACCCCAUUUAUAUCUGCUACCCCAACAGACUUCGUUUCUAUACAUUGAGUCGCUGUCGCCUGUCCCCUCGUAAUGAAUUUAUAAUCAUAGUUCUAUCAUCCAAAGAGCAAGACAGCUGAUCACUGUUCCUCCUGGCCCAUAACACAGCACUCCAACUUGACUGAUGUCCUUUCUCAUUCUUCUUCAGCGUUCUAGUUACGUUCAUGGGAUUAUUUUGGGAUGGCUGUCUUCUAAUUUGGAGACAUAAUCAGAACACAAUCUAAAAUCAAAUAAAUUCUCAUUUUUUUCCCCCCAAAAACCACACUCUAUAAAAUGAAUAUCUAGUUGGGAUACUGUCAAGAUUAUUUCUACUUAAAAGGAUUUAAAACUAAUGUUUGCACUACUGUUAUUUCUGAAGGAGGUCCUUAUACCAUGUGUUUACUGCAUUUAACCAGCAGAACAGGGUUUGCUGUGUGCUUAUAGGAUUUUCCCAUUUCUUGAGUAUCCCAAAAUCGUUCUGGAGAUGGUCACUCUACAUCAUAUUUAUACUUCUGUCCAAUUGUGUACUACUCAGGGAAAAUAGAACAAAAAAUAUUCUUCCCUCACAUCUCAUUUUCUUGAAACAAUAAUUGUCAAUUUGGUGUGUCUCAGCUCACUGAUUUGUUUGUCUUUGGGUUUUUUGGUUUUUUGUUUGUUUGUUUGUUUUUAUUCGUGUUUUAAUUGGAGCUUGGAGUGUCUGGGGAAGCUUGCUUAGCUUUUAGAGUACUCAGAGAUGGAGAGAAGGUUCUGUGGGUUUCAAAGAAUCCUGAUUGCUGUGUCUUAGCAUGCUGGUCCCUACCGUGGUGACGGCCACACGGGGUGUCUCCACACAUGCCACUUUGGAGGAAAACAGUUCCAGUGGAGGUUUCUAGAAAGUGAUGGUGAUCUUGUGUAAGUGGCCUGGCCGAUCCUUUUGGCUCUUGCUUCGGGGAACAGCACCUUCUCUACCACCCCUAAUCCUGUAGGGCAAAGGGAAGGGCGGGGUCACAGAGGGAGCUGGUAACUGGCAAUGCUUUGUAUUACUGAAGCUUGAGGUGGUGACAUUUUUAAAAAUAGUUGCUUAGCAACAGGAGGAAUACCUUUUGAUCCAUUAACCCAGAAUGAGUAGCAACAGGCCAUUUCCUGGUUGCUUCCCUUAGUUUCUGUUUCUGCUGGGUAAAACUGGAGCGGAUUAAAUACUCCCCAUAAAUUGCUGAUUUUACGAGACAGGGUUUACCACCAUGUAACUCUGCAGCAAUUAUUUUAAUUCAGAGAAUUUAGUCAUUCUUUUUUUUUUUUUUUAAUUACAGAAAACAAUUUCAAAUCGCCAUCAAAAAAAAAUCAUGAAGGUUUUACUUGUGAAGACAUUUAGGACAAAUGCUUUUCCUACUUGAAACCCAUCCCUCAUCAAUGUUCAUCUUGUGUCUUCAUGAGCAAAUCUAGAACAUGGUACCUACAGCUUCCUGAUCAGUUCAUAAGUUUCAGCUCAUUGACUCUUAAAGAGUUCCACACUAUAACUGACCCAGACAUUCUUGAGAGAGUAGACGUGUUUAGAGUAAUUGCUUCUGCCGUGCCCACUGAGAUUUGGAUCAACCGUGUAGUUAGAAACCAGUAUUGUGAAAGGUUUUAUUCAGGUAUUAAUAAUCUACCCUGAUUGAAAUUUAACACACCCGGUUUAACCUAGGUGCAGAAUUCUAGCGUACACUGUGACUGUAACCUUAACCUGCCCAAGGACCAUGCGUACCUGUUACAUUCCACCAGCGGCAUCUGAGGAAUGGUUGAUCAUUCAUCCGAUUGCCCUCAAGGCUAACUUUCUGCUUCUCACUGCCCUUGGAAAAGUGAGUUUGUAGCAGGCUUCCGAACGCUGAAGGAAGAGAUUUGCAUUUUAAACAAAUCCACUCAGAAUUCUCAAGUUUGAUGGAUUAGAACGUGGCAGCUCUCUACGGUGAUUUUUCUGUGACAGCAUGUAGUCAAAUCUAUUGAUGAUGCUGAUGCUCCUCAUGGAAGAAAAUUUAAGAUGAAAUUUUCCACACUGAUAUUUUGUAGGAAUGCUCUUAUAAUCAAUGACUAAGCUGCUUUUUGAGGCUCUUGUUGUACAGAGGAUGCAGCCAAUUUACAUUUUAAUUCGUAGGCUGCCUAAUAAUGUUUUGUAUGUUUUGAGAUAAUUUAUUUUAAUAGGUUUUUAACACAAUGCAAACUCCAGUGAAGAACUGACAAGAAGCUCCAUAGGUCAUUGAUUGGGGAAAUUUUGUCAAACAGAACCUAAUGACACAUUUCUAUGCCAGCUAAUUUGUCUUGCCUUUAAAACUGGUGGUAACUCUUAAUGCCAUUUUUAUAAAGCAAGGGACAGCCUGUCUGUUCUAUAAAUAACCCUUCAAAGAUCCUUGUACAACCACUGUCUGAAAGCAGUCCGAUGACACAAAGCCACCUCCAGCCGUGUUUUCUUACACGUUGCUUCUGUAACCAGCAGUGGGUUAUACUAUAAAGCCAGAAGUUACAGAAAGCAUGGGGAUUAAAUGACUAAGCAGUUUCUGGGGAGCAUGUCUGGACUGGAAGAGUGGGGGUUGCCUGCUGCCACCUCUGACAUGCUGCUCCCUGCGCAGACAGGCUCUAUUUUGGGAAAACUUCUUUGAGAGAUCAGUUUGUUAAUUAUUUUCUCUGUCCUUUCAUGGGGGAAGGACACAGGUAGAGCGUUUGCUAAACUUUGAAAAUGUGUCUCUGUUCCCCAUUUUAAAUGUCUUUGGUUCUGUACACACCCAUCUGUCACUGAAGUACUUUUGCUGCUGACUUAAUCACACACAGAAGGGACGCCCGUGCUGAACGGAGAUGCCGUCCUGUCUGUCUUCUGUCAGCUUUAUGUACGUGAAGGUGCCCCCACACCAGAAGGAGCAUCGCAUGAGGCAGUAGGAAUGACAGGGGCACAGAUUCCUGGGACGUGAAGGCCCCAUCGUGUUAAGAUGAAGGUGCCUGGCUACAAACCUGCCUUCCCUUUCACCUGAACACUGGUCGCCUGUCUCGAGGAGAGCCUCAGCUCCCAUAGCCAGCGCCUGCAGUGUUUCCGCUUGCCUUCCCCAGCGGAGGAUAUCGUGUGGUGGGUUGUGCUUUUUUUUUUUUUUUUAAUUUGAUGAUUUUUUUUUUUUUAAAGAAGUGUUCUUUUUCAACUGAUCCUCAAAUCAGUGUCAUUGUAUGGUGAGUUGAAACCACACUGUAUCAGACAAGCUGUGACAUGAUUCAUAACCAUUUUUCCCAUUCUGUGUCUUCAGAGCUACACAGUGGCUUAUUGCUGGCUUUUAAAGGUGUUUUUAACUUACAUGUGGCUUUUUUUUCUUAUAAUUUCUGUGUCUUUAAAGGGAUUAAACAGUAGUU